rnacentral:rRNA from 2 species
UGGAGGGAAGGUGGGGAUGAAGUCAAGUCAUCAUGGCCCUUACGGCCUGGGCUACACACGUGCUACAAUGGUCGGUACAGAGGGUCGCCAAGCCGCGAGGUGGGGCUAAUCUCACAAAACCGAUCGUAGUCCGGAUCGCAGUCUGCAACUCGACUGCGUGAAGUCGGAAUCGCUAGUAAUCGCGAAUCAGAAUGUCGCGGUGAAUACGUUCCCGGGCCUUGUACACACCGCCCAUCACACCAUGGGAGUGGGUUGCACCAGAAGUAG